rnacentral:rRNA from 1 species
GGAUCAUUAAAGAGUUCUAUAACUCCCAAACCCAUGUGAACAUACCUAACGUUGCCUCGGCAGGUCGCACCUACCUUGUAGCACCCUACCCUGUAGGGCCUACCCGGGAGGUGCGGGUAAGCCUGCCGGCGGCCCACCAAACUCUGUUUGAUAUUGAAUUCUGAACCUAUAACUAAAUAAGUUAAAACUUUCAACAACGGAUCUCUUGGUUCUGGCAUCGAUGAAGAACGCAGCGAAAUGCGAUAAGUAAUGUGAAUUGCAGAAUUCAGUGAAUCAUCGAAUCUUUGAACGCAUAUUGCGCCCAUUAGUAUUCUAGUGGGCAGGACCGUUCGAGCGUCAUUUCAACCCUUAAGCCUUCGUUGCUUAGUGUUGGGAGCCUACGGCAACGUAGCUCCUCAAAGUUAGUGGCGGAGUUGGUUCACACUCUAGACGUAGUAAUUUUUUAUCUCGCCUAUUAGUUGGACUAAUCCCCUGCCGUAAAACCCCCAAUUUAUCAAGGUUGACCUCGAAUCGGUUCAGACAAACUC